AACUCAGAAGAACCGUUUCAGCCUUCGAGUGGCACGUUUGCAAUAUCGGCAACAAGAGUUGAAAAAGAAAACAAUAUUUUGAAUAAAGAUAAGACGGGUGAGGCAAUUACUACAAACGAUCCGGUUUUGUUAGCUGAAAAUAUGUCCAAAGUAGAACGCGAUGCAGAUGUUCUUCAGGGGCCUCCUAAAAAUCCUUUAUCUUUUCCGAGAGACUCGAACAAGAUUAAGGUUUCUGAAUCAGUUUUCCACGUAAUAACUCGUAAUGGGAUGAAAAUAAACAGAGAUUGGCUUGUGUGGAGUGCAACUUCAAAAUCAUUUCUUUGCUUUCCGUGCUCACUUUUCGGAAGCAAGCAAGCCUGCUGGGCUGGUAAUAAUUCACAUCUUCUACGUCGGAAUAGUGGCAUCAAUGGAAACUGGAGAAAGCUAGCUGAAAAAAUAAAAAGCCACUAAAACAAUCCUCACCAUCGAGACAGUUACAUUAUUUGAAAAACAGCGCUGGAAAGCUUGGUAAAUCAAUGUGGGAUUGAUUCAAGUUUUGAAAAAUUGAUAAGAAAUGAGGCAGCCAGGUGGCGUGACAUUUUAAAGUGCAUUUUAGAUGUAAUUCUCAUCUUAGUAUCACGCAACCUUAGCUUUAGAGGCUCAUCAAAAAUGAUCGGUGAUGACGAUAACGGCAAUUUUCUUGCAACUCUAGGUCUACUCGCAUAGCACAACAAGACUCUUCAGUUACAUCUAGAAGAGGUUUCUCGCUGCCAACAAAAAGGUAAACAAAAUGUUGCGCAUUAUUUGGGUUGGAGUUUUCAAAAUGAAUUUAUAAAAGAGUGCGGAAGAAUUGUCUGCGGUAUUAUCAUUGAAGAGGCGCAUAUGGCAAUAUACUAUUCCAUUCUUGUCGACGGACGCCUGACGCUUUGUCUGCUAUGGUAUUGAUAAAAAAUGGGUAGUUAAGGAGCGCUUUCUUGGGGUCGAAAGUCUCGAUAAAAAGAUAGGUGUGGAUAUUGCUAAGCUAAUUAUAGAUGUUUUAGAUCAAAAUGACAUUGAUCUGAAGAACUGUCGAUAUGAUACCGUUGUCAGGGAUAUGACAACGGUGUCAAUAUGUCUGGUGUGUACAAAGGAGUACAAGCGAUUCAUUCUAGCUGGUGUUUAUUCCCUUGAAUCUUCUGUAGAAAUAAAGAACUAUUUCGGUCGUAUUCAGUUACUCUACAAUCUUUUUAGUGGAAGCCGUAUACGAUGGAAAAUCUUAACCGAGACGACUGGUUUGUCUCUACAUCAAACUUUACAAACCCGAUAAAGUGCACGCAUUGAGGCUAUGAAGCCGUUGGUUAAGCGACCCAGAGAAAUCCUUUUAUCAUUGCAGAAACUUCGUGAUCUUGAUUUAACUGCUAAUCUAUUAAUUGACGUAAAAUCUUUUAAUACAAAUUGAUAAUAAUUUUAAUACAAAUUGAUAAUAAAAAAUAAUGA